GUCUAAGGCCAUACCACCCUGAACACUCCCAAUCUUGUUUGGUCUUGGAAGCUAAGCAGAGUCAGGCCUGGUUAUUACUUGGAUGGGAAGAAGAUCUUCAGAGGAGACUGCUCAGAGACAAGCAGUUUGGAGA
rnacentral:rRNA from 1 species